rnacentral:rRNA from 1 species
UACGGAGGGUGCAAGCGUUAAUCGGAAUUACUGGGCGUAAAGCGUGCGUAGGCGGUUCGUUAAGUCUGUUGUGAAAGCCCCGGGCUCAACCUGGGAAUGGCAAUGGAUACUGGCGAGCUAGAGUGUGUCAGAGGAUGGUGGAAUUCCCGGUGUAGCGGUGAAAUGCGUAGAGAUCGGGAGGAACAUCAGUGGCGAAGGCG